GAGUUUGAUCCUGGCUCAGGACGAACGCUGGCGGCGUGCUUAACACAUGCAAGUCGAACGGAAAGGCCCUUUCGGGGGUACUCGAGUGGCGAACGGGUGAGUAACACGUGGGUGAUCUGCCCUGCACUUUGGGAUAAGCCUGGGAAACUGGGUCUAAUACCGAAUACACCCUGCUGGUCGCAUGGCCUGGUGGGGGAAAGCUUUUGCGGUGUGGGAUGGGCCCGCGGCCUAUCAGCUUGUUGGUGGGGUGAUGGCCUACCAAGGCGACGACGGGUAGCCGGCCUGAGAGGGUGACCGGCCACACUGGGACUGAGAUACGGCCCAGACUCCUACGGGAGGCAGCAGUGGGGAAUAUUGCACAAUGGGCGCAAGCCUGAUGCAGCGACGCCGCGUGGGGGAUGACGG
rnacentral:rRNA from 1 species